UACGGAGGGGGCUAGCGUUGUUCGGAAUUACUGGGCGUAAAGCGCACGUAGGCGGCUUUGUAAGUUAGAGGUGAAAGCCCGGGGCUCAACUCCGGAAUUGCCUUUAAGACUGCAUCGCUAGAAUUGUGGAGAGGUAAGUGGAAUUCCGAGUGUAGAGGUGAAAUUCGUAGAUAUUCGGAAGAACACCAGUGGCGAAGGCGACUUACUGGACCGGUAUUGACGCUGAGGUGCGAAAGCGUGGGGGAGCAAACAGGG
rnacentral:rRNA from 1 species